rnacentral:lncRNA from 1 species
UCUGUUUUUACAAUGGUGGGAUUCGUAUUCUUUCAUGCAAAAGUAGUGGCAGUAAAAAAAAAAUGAAAAAGAAAAUAUUUCAAAAGAAUGAAGUUGUCAGGGAAGAGAGUUUGUUAUAUUGUAUUUGCAUACCAUUUCCUUUCACCAUCUGGUCCUAGUGUCAUGUCCUAACACUUCCUCAUCCCAUUUUCACUCUAUCCUACUCCAGUGGUUCUCAGUCUUGGCUGCAAAUCAGAACUGCAAGUGCAACUGAAAAAAAAAAUAAUUAAUGUAGAGACUCUAUCCCAAAUAUACAUUGAAUCAGAAUCUCUAGGAGUUAGGCCUGAGCAUGUUUUGCUUUGCUUUUUUGUUUUGUUUUAACCUCUAUGUAUGAGUUAGAUGCAUAAUUAAGUUUGAAAAAAUAAAAACACCCUAUUCCCAAGCCACUCAAAUAAAAGCUGUUCUUUGGA